UACGGGGGGGGCAAGCGUUGUUCGGAAUUACUGGGCGUAAAGGGCUCGUAGGCUGCCAACUAAGUCAGACGUGAAAUCCCUCGGCUUAACCGGGGAACUGCGUCUGAUACUGGAUGGCUUGAGAUCGGGAGAGGGAUGCGGAAUUCCAGGUGUAGCGGUGAAAUGCGUAGAUAUCUGGAGGAACACCGGUGGCGAAGGCGACAUCCUGGACCGGUAUUGACGCUGAGUGAGCGAAAGCCAGGGGAGCAAACGGG
rnacentral:rRNA from 1 species